UAGAUUUUCUUAAACGCGCGGUAAAGAUUGCAUAAGUUAAAAAAUAUCCCACUCAACACCCAAAAAUAAAGAUUUCACUAUAAUUAAUAUUUUUACAAUGAGAAGAAUAAUAAAAAAAUACAAAUACAAAAAAUUCAAGCUUUCUUUGAAUGUCAUUUCCGACGAGUAUUCCCGAGAACCUAUACAAACACUUGUAAUAAAAAUAUUAGUAACGAAAUAAUUACAAAAAAGCAUGUGCACAUGUAUGUAUUUAAAAAAUAUAAAUAUUAUUAAAAAGCAGGCUCAGAUAAAGUUUUUUAAAAAAUAUAAAAAUUUCAUUAUUGCCCGAAUUUAUUCAUUUUAUUAUGUAUUUGUAUACGUAAUAUUCAUCUUUUAUUUGCAGAGGCCUCGAAAUUGAUGGAGAUUUUCUUCAUAGGCCAAGUGUCAACCUUUGAUAUAAAAUAAUAAUUUUGAUAAAAUAAAAUCCGUCUUUUGUAAUGGGAUGACCUCAAAUAUCCAAAUGGAGAAAUAAUUUUACUGGCCAACCGUCGGCCCUUAAGAUAAAAUAAUAAUUUUGAUAAAAUAAAGUCGUCUUUUGUGAUAGGGUGGCCUCAAACAUCCAGACGGAGAGAUAAUUUCAUUGACCAAAUAAAAAAGUUAAAUUUAAAAUAAAAUUUAUCUUUAUAAUAGGUAGACCUCGAAAAUUCAACCGAGAUAUUUUAUCAUUAUCAAUUAAACUAUUCAAUAUCCAACUAAAAUAAAAACUAAUAACAGAUCAACAAAACACAACUCAAGAAUUACAAAACAGAAUGAUAAUGUAAACAUUAUAACAAUUACGUAGGAAAAUGACAGUACAAAAAACUAAAAAUAAAAAUUAAAUCAAAUAUGUUUAAAAAUAAUGAAAGAAGUUGCAACAACACUAAGAGAAAAUAACAUUCUAAUAUUAACAUUAAACUUCGAACAAAGAAUCUCAAAGUAAAAGGUAUUAACAUUGUCAUAGACAUAAUUGAUCAAUUCAAGAACAAUUUGAAUAUAUGUAGACCCACAUGUAACAAUACGAAAAAUAAAAGUUGUGGAGGUCAAAUCUCGACGGGAUCUGAAUUUUACCGGAGUUAUGACUUGAGAUUACCGAAUUUUGUACUUCUCAGAUGUCGUUGUUGUUUGCCGUGGAGGUUGUUUGGGGAUGGAUAAACGGAAAGAAAGGAGGGAUGGGGGCGGCAGUGGGCUGCCGGACUUGAAACAGUGUACGGCGGCAUUUCGGUUGCUGGUUCUUCGGAAUCACUGGUUCGUUGUUGUCUGGAGCUCGCCGGUCAUCAACUCCAGCGAUCCAAUGGUGGAGCAGCGGGUAGAGGAGAAAGGACGAGCGGUGGUGGCGUUUUGGUGGUUUUUCGACGGUAAUGAAGGGAUGUAGGGAAGAAAGACAGAGAGGAGGAAGGGGGUGUGGUGGUGGUGCUAUCGGGAAAAAUCCACCAGAGCUCCAGUGGUGGUGGGGCGGCAGUGAAGGGAAAAGGGAGAGAGAAAAGACGAGAGAAAGUGAUGAGAGUGAGUGGGGAUUUGGUUUGUAUGUCGGUGUGUUAGUGUAUAAUACAUUAGUAUGUGUUUGUGUGGUGAAUGAGUAUUAAAAAGGAAAAUUAAUAAUAUAAAAAAAUAUAUUAAAUUUAUUUUUAUUCAAUAUAUUCCUUAAAUUUGGGAUAGUAGGUAAAAAUAAAGUUAAAAAAAUUAAAAGUGAUAAGACUUUUGACUUGACUAAUUUGUUAUUCUGUAUAUUAAAAUAAUUA
rnacentral:lncRNA from 1 species